GAUGAACGCUGGCGGCGUGCCUAAUACAUGCAAGUCGAGCGAACAGACGAGGAGCUUGCUCCUCUGACGUUAGCGGCGGACGGGUGAGUAACACGUGGAUAACCUACCUAUAAGACUGGGAUAACUUCGGGAAACCGGAGCUAAUACCGGAUAAUAUAUUGAACCGCAUGGUUCAAUAGUGAAAGACGGUUUUGCUGUCACUUAUAGAUGGAUCCGCGCCGCCUUAGCUAGUUGGUAAGGUAACGGCUUACCAAGGCGACGAUGCGUAGCCGACCUGAGAGGGUGAUCAGCCACACUGGAACUGAGACACGGUCCAGACUCCUACGGGAGGCAGCAGUGGGGAAUCUUCCGCAAAGGGCGAAAGCCUGACGGAGCAACGCCGCGUGAGUGAUGAAGGUCUUCGGAUCGUAAAACUCUGUUAUUAGGGAAGAACAAAUGUGUAAGUAACUAUGCACGUCUUGACGGUACCUAAACAGAAAGCCACGGCUAACUACGUG
rnacentral:rRNA from 1 species